AUGUGUUAAAUAAUUAGUUACAAAAUUGAGAAAAAUUUAAAAUUUUAAAUUGGAAAGGACGAAAACAGCGUAGCUACUGGUUUUGCGCCAACAUGUCAGCCCUCAUUUGUGUGUAAGAGUGCUCUUGAGUGUGCGUUGAUUCUUUUCUUACCUUAUAAGAAAACAUUAACCAAUGCCCGAAUCUUUGUGAAAACUGCGUUAGUGGGGUUUAAGAACACAUUUCUUCUUAAGAAGGUGGGUGAAUGAAGCCCAUUGUGUCUAACUAAAAGCAUGCA